UAUUGAUGUCUGAUUUUGAUUUCAGGCCAUAAUCCUGUCACCUUAGGUCGAUCGGUACCUCAGAUAAAAAAUUAAAUUUUUUUAGUUUUUAAUUUCAGUUCCUAAACUUGUCUAGGUCACACCCAACAAACUUUCUCCUGGGCUAUUAGCUCAGGCGGUUAGAGCGCACCCCUGAUAAGGGUGAGGUCCCUGGUUCAAGUCCAGGAUGGCCCAUUCGUAGUUGGGGGUAUAGCUCAGUUGGUAGAGCGCCUGCUUUGCAAGCAGGAUGUCAGCGGUUCGAGUCCGCUUACCUCCACUGAUCAACUACCUGAUAACUCAAUUGGGAGAUUGUCAAUUGUUUGAGUUGACUUAGAUAUUGUUCAUCUGAAUGAACCUAGCUUCCUGUCAUUCCUAAAACUUAGGUUGAUAAGACGCUGGGCUCUCUGGUUAUUUUAUUAUAAUCAGGUUGAUUCAGCAGAACCUUGACAACUGCAUAGGAAAGUCUGGAAAGAAAAAAGCAUCUCAUAGAUGCAUAGAUAUUUAAUAUUCAGAAUUUCUGAAAAUAUUGGAUUUCUAUGAUUAAUUCUUGAGUUAGAGCAAAAUUUUCUAUUGAAAAAUUUACUUAUAAAUUAAUCAAUGGAUAU
rnacentral:tRNA from 1 species